AUUGAACGCUGGCGGUAGGCCUAACACAUGCAAGUCGAACGGCAGCACAGUAAGAGCUUGCUCUUACGGGUGGCGAGUGGCGGACGGGUGAGGAAUACAUCGGAAUCUACUUUUUCGUGGGGGAUAACGUAGGGAAACUUACGCUAAUACCUCAUACGACCUACGGGUGAAAGCAGGGGAUCUUCGGACCUUGCGCGAUUGAAUGAGCCGAUGUCGGAUUAGCUAGUUGGCGGGGUAAAGGCCCACCAAGGCGACGAUCCGUAGCUGGUCUGAGAGGAUGAUCAGCCACACUGGAACUGAGACACGGUCCAGACUCCUACGGGAGGCAGCAGUGGGGAAUAUUGGACAAUGGGCGCAAGCCUGAUCCAGCAAUACCGCGUGGGUGAAGAAGGCCUUCGGGUUGUAAAGCCCUUUUGUUGGGAAAGAAAAGCAGCAGGUUAAUACCCCGCUGUUAUGACGGUACCCAAAGAAUAAGCACCGGCUAACUUCGUG
rnacentral:rRNA from 1 species